rnacentral:misc_RNA from 1 species
CGGAAGUGAAGUCGAGUCUUUAUGAAAUCGAGUCCCCGGGGAUAACGCGCACGUGAUAUGCGCGAGAGGAGUUUCGGGGAUGAGAGGACAAUCCUGUUUCUCCCUUCCCCGUCGAGAUUGUUUUCUCAAGUCCUUUGGGCGGCGCUUUUGUUUCCGUCUCUUUAAGGACGUCCCUCGAUUACUCCGGAACUCAACAGAGGAAUGACCUUGCCGACUCAUAUUGCUUGUCAUUGUAGCUUUGAACGCUUCAAAUCAGAUAUUACUCAUGCUCGCGCGAGCGUAUGCCUCGUGGACAUUGUCAUGAUGCUUUUUGACGGGAAAUGUGAGCGAGAUCGGUGUUUCACGUAGAAGGUUUUGCAGGGAGGGAGGCUCUUGACUUGAUAUGUCUCUUCGAGCGAGGAGCAGGAGAUAUUUCGCGAUAUCCGAUUCGCAUACGAGACGCUCACGUAUAUGCGCAAUCAUAAUCAUACGACGCAGCACACGUGCGUCACAACUCCGGCUCCUAGUCACGAUUCCGACCGGUUUCCUGGAAGCCUGGAAAAAAGACUUUUCUAGAGAAGAGGAGGAAACGUUCAGGCGUUUUCCUUGCGAGACAUAUCUGUGAUUAUAUCUCGCACUUUCUAGGUUGCUCCAAGAAAAAAGAAAUGAAGAUAAAAACACACAUGCUUAUACUUGAUAAAUUUACCAAGAAGUUGGAACAACCGGCCCUAGUACAGGAAAUUUGAACAGAACAGCAAAGAUUAAUUUAUUAUAUAAAACGUGGCGAAUAGGUUCGCUUUCAGGAGGAG